rnacentral:rRNA from 1 species
GGACUACUCGGGUAUCUAAUCCUGUUUGCUACCCACGCUUUCGUGUCUCAGCGUCAGAAGUGGUCCAGAAAGCUGUCUACACCGCAGGUGUUCCUCCUGAUAUCUACGCAUUUCACCGCUACACCAGGAAUUCCGCUUUCCUCUCCCACCCUCUAGCAUUCUAGUUUCCGGCGCACCCUCCCAGUUGAGCCGGGAGAUUUCACACCAGACUUAGAACACCGCCUACACACUCUUUACGCCCAGUAAUUCCGAACAACGCUUGCUGCCUACGUAUUACCGCGGCUGCUGGCAC